rnacentral:siRNA from 1 species
AGAGAGUAGUCAUACCGCGUGUA